UACGUAGGGGGCAAGCGUUGUCUGGAAUCAUUGGGCGUAAAGCGCGUGUAGGCGGCUAGGUAAGUCUGCUCUGAAAGCCCGGGGCUCAACCCCGGGAGGCGGGUGGAUACUGUCUAGCUCGAGUCCGGAAGAGGAGUGUGGAAUUCCUGGUGUAGCGGUGAAAUGCGCAGAUAUCAGGAGGAACACCAAUGGCGAAGGCAGCACUCUGGGACGUGACUGACGCUGAGACGCGAAAGCGUGGGGAGCAAACAGG
rnacentral:rRNA from 1 species